AUACAGAGGGUGCGAGCGUUAAUCGGAAUUACUGGGCGUAAAGCGUGUGUAGGUGGUUGUAUAAGUUAGAUGUGAAAGCCCCGGGCUUAACCUGGGAAUUGCAUCCAAAACUGGCAAGCUAGAGUAUGGCAGAGGGUGGUGGAAUUUCCUGUGUAGCAGUGAAAUGCGUAGAUAUGUGGAGGAAUACCGAUGGCGAAGGCAGCCCCCUGGGAUAAUACUGACGCUCAGACACGAAAGCGUGGGGAGC
rnacentral:rRNA from 1 species